UACAGAGGUCUCAAGCGUUGUUCGGAUUCAUUGGGCGUAAAGGGUGCGUAGGUGGUGCUGUAAGUCAGGUGUGAAAUCCCGGGGCUCAACCCCGGAACUGCACUUGAUACUGCAGUGCUCGAGGACUGGAGAGGAGAUCGGAAUUCAUGGUGUAGCAGUGAAAUGCGUAGAUAUCAUGAGGAAGACCAGUGGCGAAGGCGGAUCUCUGGACAGUUCCUGACACUGAGGUACGAAGGCCAGGGGAGCAAACGGG
rnacentral:rRNA from 1 species